rnacentral:rRNA from 1 species
CAGUCGCCACGGUAAUACGUAGGUGGCAAACGUUGUCCGGAAUUAUUGGGCGUAAAGGGCUCGCAGGCGGUUUCUUAAGUCUGAUGUGAAAGCCCCCGGCUCAACCGGGGAGGGUCAUUGGAAACUGGGAAACUUGAGUGCAGAAGAGGAGAGUGGAAUUCCACGUGUAGCGGUGAAAUGCGUAGAGAUGUGGAGGAACACCAGUGGCGAAGGCGACUCUCUGGUCUGUAACUGACGCUGAGGAGCGAAAGCGUGGGGAGCGAACAGGAUUAGAUACCCCCGUAGUCCCUGUCUCUUAUAC